rnacentral:misc_RNA from 1 species
CCGAGUGAGGGCCUCCGGCCCCGACCUCCAACCCUUUGUUAUCAAAACCACUGUUGCCUCGGGGGCGACCCGGGCCUCGCGGCGCCGGGGCCCCCGCUGGACAAUCUCAAAACUCUGCAUCUUUGCGUCGGGUUAUAAAAGUUUAAUUGAUUA